ensembl:rRNA 5S_rRNA 5S ribosomal RNA
AUCGACGACCAUGCCACGCUGACUGCGCCCGAUCUCCUCUGAUCUCAGAAGCGAAGCAGGGUGUGGUCUGGUUAGUAUUUGGAUGGGAGGAGUUCCCCUGGGCAUGGCAGGAGUCCAUGGAC